CCGGCGCAGCCGGACCCGAGCGUCCCACCGCCGCCUCCCCUCGGGGCGCUGCCGUCGCACCUCUGUACCUGCAAAACAAUACCCGCCGCAGGUAAAAAUGGGUGUAACCGCCUCCUAUGGAAUCACAGAGUCGUUAAGUGAAUAGGAUCUUGUUUAUGACCAAAGCAGUACUGAGAAAAGAAAAAAAACUCUGAAUGACAGAUUUUUCCAAGUGGUACAAACACACAGGAACAGCCUAUUUUAAUGUAAUAUAAAAUACUGCAGUCCCAUUUUUUUCCCACUUCUGGAUUGUUGAAGUUAACGAUCAAAUGCUCUGUCAAAACUUCGUUUCUGGCCUCUGCUUCUGAAUCUGUUUCUACUGGAGCUACCGCGCCGCCCAUUCCUGGAACUUGAGAAGCUUCGGCCAUUUCCUCCGCCUCCUCCUCGCUGUGAUUCUACUAACUCAGGUACCAGAAGUAUGAUGAACAUGCACUAAUCAGAACUAAGCAAUCCUGAUCUAUGUUCUGCCAUUAAGGCACAGUAAACACAGUUCACACCUUUCACCUGUUCCACUCUCCCUAUGGCCAUGCUAUACACUGCAUUAUACUACCUCCUUAGCUUGUCAGCGGAGCAGAGCCCUAAGCCCCCGAGAUGCCUAAGCCCUAAUGAAACAGAUUGAGGCCCAUCCUGCUACCAGAGUCAUGUCCUUAUCAACAGAGCCUGGAACAGAGGAAAAAAGGCCAAAUUUCUCCUGACAAUUGCUGGGAAAAGGCUACAACCAGGAGAGCUCAGCUGCAAAGGUACAAAAAAGCUUACCAUUUUUCCCUUGAGGAAACACAUUCUGUUCACCUUCCUGUCAACAUCAUCACCCAACAGUUCUCGCAGUCUUCGCCAAGCAUAGCUCAUAUUGUUUAUUUCUUCAGAGCAGUGUAGUAUCAUUGUAACAAAUCCCUAAGGAGUAAGAAAUGGAGCGUGCUCCAUUCAGUCAGAGGAAUAAGCUUCGGCACAUCUAUCAGACAUGAGAAACAGCUCAUAAACUAAGUUUUCAAGUGGAUACUGUUAUGGGAGAGCAAGUGUAUUUAUACCCACUAUAUUCUUGCUUGUAACUAAAUUAGUAGUUCCUAGUGGCUUUAGUACAGUUUCCAUAAACAAAAUCAUAUGGAGACAAAUAAUUAUCUAUUUAAACAAGAGUGAGGUAUGCUGUUUUUUUUCAGAUUCAAGACAAACGUUAAUCCAUACACCCUUACCGCAUCCGAGUUCAGCAGGGAGCGCUGUUCAAUGGAAGUAGCACCUGAAAUAUGGGCUAGAGCUGCAGCCAAAGCAUUAACUGGUCCCUUUUCUUGUAUUAAGAACCGAGCAGAUUCUUUGAAAUACUCGAUAGCAGUUUGAGGAACAGAAUCCAGACACCUACAUAAUUAAAGGGG